rnacentral:rRNA from 1 species
UACGUAGGGUGCGAGCGUUGUCCGGAAUUACUGGGCGUAAAGAGCUCGUAGGUGGUCUGUCGCGUUGUCCGUGAAAACUCACAACUCAAUUGUGGGCGUGCGGGCGAUACGGGCAGACUGGAGUACUGCAGGGGAGACUGGAAUUCCUGGUGUAGCGGUGAAAUGCGCAGAUAUCAGGAGGAACACCGGUGGCGAAGGCGGGUCUCUGGGCCGAUACUGACGCUGAGGAGCGAAAGCGUGGGGAGCGAACAGG